ACUGCUACAAGCCUGAACCAAGAACUUUGCCAUUACUCUGCACAUCAAAAGCUGAAAGUAAUGUACCUAGUAAGAGGAGUCAGGAGGAAAAUUAUGAUGGUGUUAUAGUGAUGAGAAUGUUGAAGAAACGAGCAUCCAUAAUGAGAGAGAUGGACCGAAUGCUGUUUCCACUAAAGUUAACAGAAGCUGUCAACUGACUUAACUGUGACCUGGAUUGGGCCCCUUAUAAAAAGUUUAUAUAUGAAAAAAAAAUCUGCAAAUAAAUAAUCCUUUUCCACCAAAAAUGGAUUUAUAUAAAUAUUCUGGGUUUCUUGUUUUGUUUUUUGUUUACAUAUGUGCCUCAGUUUAAGUGAAAUUAAAACCAGAAAUGCUAUUAAUAUACAUUUGAAAUAUUAAUAAUAAACUAAAUUAUGUGGCUGAAUUCUAUGCUCACCUAAUCCUUUGUUACAAUCCAACAGGUUGAAAAUCUGCCCAACACUAAAGUGGCAGUUAAAGAAAAUCCAUGCUGGCAAAUUUCUAUUGACUUUGGUAAUUAUUUAACAAGCCUGAUAGCUGCAAGUAAAUAAUUCUUGUGCAAAGUUUCCAGGAUCAAAGGCUUGCCCUAGGAUUGGGCUAGGGAACGGUACGGCUGGCUGACCUUACAGUAUUGUG